CUACCCCCAAAAAGGAGGGACUGUCCCCCUUUGAAUGUAUUUAUGGAAGGCCUUUCUUACGCACAGACAUUGUUAUAGACCCGGAAGCCUUGGAAUUAACUAAUUAUGUAACUCAGCUCUCAGCUUUUCAACAGGCAUUAACAGAACUCCGGGAGAUGACUCCUGACCCAGCCUCCAAGACAAGCAAGCCUCUAUUUGAGCCAGGAACCGAGCUGUCAAAGUGCCAGGAAUUGAUUCGUGGGUACAUCAUACUCGAGUUAAGAGGUGGCACCCUGACCAAAAUUAAGUGACUUCAUUUUAUGUCUUUACUUUCUAUGCUCUGACUUUGUACCUUUUAGAUGGACCUGAUAACCUAUGUGA